rnacentral:lncRNA from 10 species
GGUGAAGGAGGUCCCCAGAAGCCGAGGGGCCAAUGUCAUCACAUGCGUUAGUGUGCAAACCUGCCGGUGGGGAGCACAAGCAGCAGUGCCCAGAGGCUUCGGGAGCUCCUCCGAGUUUUCUCAGAGGUGCUGGCAGAGGUGGAAGGCCACAUCCGCCAAAGAGAAAGGAAAGGUGAAGACGCAGACAAGGCGGGCCAGGCCUGUCAGGAAGAGAAAUGAAACCUACAUCCCUCCACCAAGGAACGAAAAAGUAGCUCAAGGAUUCCAGGCACCCAAGAGGCCUCCUUUGGCCUUUUUCCAGUUCUGUUCUGAGCAUCACCCAAAAUUCAAAGAAAACAUCCCGGCCUAUCCGUGGGUGAUGCUGCACAGAGACUGGGAGGGAUGGGAGAGACAACACUGCUGCAGAUGCCCAGUAGCCUAGGAAAAGGAGGCGCAGCAUGAGAAGGAUCCUGCUGCAGGCUGGGCUGAAGGAAUGCCCGAUGAAGUACAAAGAGAGUUGCUCAGGCUGAAAAAAAGCAAGAAAAAGGAGGAACAGGAG